rnacentral:rRNA from 1 species
UAAGGAAUAUUGGUCAAUGGACGAAAGUCUGAACCAGCCAUGCCGCGUGAAGGAUGAAGGUCCUCUGGAUUGUAAACUUCUUUUAUAUGGGACGAAAAAAGGGAAUUCUUUCUCACUUGACGGUACCAGAGGAAUAAGCACCGGCUAACUCCGUGCCAGCAGCCGCGGUAAUACGGAGGGUGCAAGCGUUAUCCGGAUUCACUGGGUUUAAAGGGUGCGUAGGUGGGUAUGUAAGUCAGUGGUGAAAUCUCCGAGCUUAACUCGGAAACUGCCRUUGAUACUAUAKRUCUUGAAUCWUCUGGAGGUAAGCGGAAUAUGUCAUGUAGCGGUGAAAUGCUUAGAUAUGACAUAGAACACCAAUUGCGAAGGCAGCUUACUACGGAKUCAUUGACACUGAGGCACGAAAGCGUGGGGAUCAAACAGGAUUAGAUACCCUGGUAGUCCACGCCCUAAACGAUGGAUACUCGACAUACGCGAUACACUGUAAGUGUCUGAGCGAAAGCAUUAAGUUCCC